rnacentral:rRNA from 1 species
GCAAGGAAUAUUGCGCAAUGGGCGAAAGCCUGACGCAGCGACGCCGCGUGGGUGAAGAAGGCCUUCGGGUCGUAAAGCCCUUUUGCUGGGGAAGAGAGCGGACGGUACCCAGCGAAUAAGCCCCGGCUAACUACGUGCCAGCAGCCGCGGUAAUACGUAGGGGGCAAGCGUUGUCCGGAUUUACUGGGCGUAAAGGGCACGUAGGCGGUUCGUUAAGUCGGUUGUGAAAUCCCCCGGCCCAACCGGGGGGGGUCAGCCGGGACUGGCGGACUUGAGGGAGGCAGAGGAAAGCGGAAUUCCCGGAGUAGUGGUGAAAUGCGUAGAUACCGGGAGGAACACCAGUGGCGAAGGCGGCUUUCUGGGCUUCUCCUGACGCUGAGGUGCGAAGGCGUGGGGAGCGAACCGGAUUAGAUACCCGGGUAGUCC